AAAAAGGCAAACCCUGGGUUUCCGUGUUCAACUUUGACUGUCCGUCUUAUAUGAAAUUUUUUUAUAAUUCGUAUUUUUAUUGUUGUUAGAUGAUAAAACAUGAUUAAUAUUUUAUGCGUGACUUGUCUUUUAAUUUUUUUUCAUAAUUUUUUCAAAUAAGACGGACGGUCAAACGUUGAGCACGGAAACC
rnacentral:pre_miRNA from 1 species